GUCCACUGGAUAGCUCAGCUGGUAGAGCACGAGGCUCUUAAUCUCAGGGUCAAGGGUUUGAUACACACGUUGGGCA